GGGCGGGUAGCUCAGCGGGAGAGCAUCGGCCUUACAAGCCGAGGGUCACAGGUUCAAAUCCUGUUCCGCCUACCA
rnacentral:tRNA from 1 species